rnacentral:rRNA from 1 species
CCGCGUGAGUGAUGAAGGCUUUCGGGUCGUAAAACUCUGUUGUUAGGGAAGAACAAGUGCUAGUUGAAUAAGCUGGCACCUUGACGGUACCUAACCAGAAAGCCACGGCUAACUACGUGCCAGCAGCCGCGGUAAUACGUAGGUGGCAAGCGUUAUCCGGAAUUAUUGGGCGUAAAGCGCGCGCAGGUGGUUUCUUAAGUCUGAUGUGAAAGCCCACGGCUCAACCGUGGAGGGUCAUUGGAAACUGGGAGACUUGAGUGCAGAAGAGGAAAGUGGAAUUCCAUGUGUAGCGGUGAAAUGCGUAGAGAUAUGGAGGAACACCAGUGGCGAAGGCGACUUUCUGGUCUGUAACUGACACUGAGGCGCGAAAGCGUGGGGAGCAAACAGGAUUAGAUACCCUGGUAGUCCACGCCGUAAACGAUGAGUGCUAAGUGUUAGAGGGUUUCCGCCCUUUAGUGCUGAAGUUAACGCAUUAAGCACUCCGCCUGGGGAGUACGGCCGCAAGGCUG